rnacentral:lncRNA from 1 species
CCUGGUGGUCCGGGGGGGCCCACUUCUCCUUUGGCGCCCUUGGUCCCUGGAGGGCCUGGGGGCCCUGGAGGUCCUGGGGGGCCGGGCAUUCCCUGUGGGGAGGGCAGAGAGCUGUUAGGCUUAUGGCCUGCCUGUCAGGCAGCAGCUGGGAGCAGAGACAGUUCAGAAAAAUCAGAAAAAUCAGAAACCUGACCAGGCAGACCUCUGACCAGGCAAAACCGAGAAUGCAGUGGGUCACUCGGGCCACGGCUCCCUGAGGACAGGAACUGGCCCCGGCCCCACCUCAUCCCACGCUGGAGUCGUGCACAGACGUCCCUCGGGAGGAGUGAAGAGGCCACCGGGUCUGCGUCUCAGGUAAAAAGGUCCCUGGAAUGGAGGCCAGGCCGUGAGGCCCGAGCGGCUGGCAUCUCCCCCAUCCCCGACGGCUGCUCCAUCUCCCCCGACAGCUGCCCCCCGCAAUAUGCCUGCCUCGACAGCCCGACCAGGGCCCCUCGCGGCCCCAGCCUCACUCUGGACACUGCAGGCCUCCGCAGGUGACCCCCACCAGGACACCUCCCGGCCCCAGCCUCACUCUGGACACUGCAGGCCUCUGCAGGUGCAAGGAGCUGCCUCACCCUCACGGGUGCCCACCCAGCACAGGGCCUGCCAGCGGCUCUCGCCCACAUCCCACUCCCAUCAUUUCCUUGGGGGCAGUGACUGUCGCUAUCCCUCGGGCCUGACAAGGCCCACCCCAGCUCGACCGGGCUGCUCUGUGCUACCAGGUGGAGACCCCUCCCCAGCCGGGCAGCAUGCAGCUCUGGCACCAGGUUACUCACGGGAAAGCCUGCGAAACCCGGCCGGCCCUGGGGAAAGAGGGACGGCGUCAGCUGGGGUCAUCACGCACCCUCGCGCCUGCCCGGACCCCACCCAGCCUUGUACCCAGGUCCCCGCAGGCCCGUCUCU